rnacentral:rRNA from 1 species
AUUGAACGCUGGCGGCAGGCCUAACACAUGCAAGUCGAGCGGAUGAAGGGAGCUUGCUCCUGGAUUCAGCGGCGGACGGGUGAGUAAUGCCUAGGAAUCUGCCUGGUAGUGGGGGAUAACGUCCGGAAACGGGCGCUAAUACCGCAUAUGUCCUGAGGGAGACAGUGGGGGAUCUUCGGACCUCACGCUAUCAGAUGAGCCUAGGUCGGAUUAGCUAGUUGGUGGGGUAAAGGCCUACCAAGGCGACGAUCCGUAACUGGUCUGAGAGGAUGAUCAGUCACACUGGAACUGAGACACGGUCCAGACUCCUACGGGAGGCAGCAGUGGGGAAUAUUGGACAAUGGGCGAAAGCCUGAUCCAGCCAUGCCGCGUGUGUGAAGAAGGUCUUCGGAUUGUAAAGCACUUUAAGUUGGGAGGAAGGGCAGUAAGUUAAUACCUUGCUGUUUUGACGUUACCAACAGAAUAAGCACCGGCUAACUUCGUG